GAUUUCCUUGUCACUGGUUUGUCGGCCGAGUGCGUGACCGUGGGUCCGCCGGCCCUCGCGUGACCCAGCCCGGCGCCUGCACCUGCACCUGCACCCUGAGCCCUGCAUCUCCACCCGCCCGCCCGCCCCGGCGAAAUCCUCUGCUGUCUCUUUUGUGUUAGGUUGACACACAGAAUUGUCGAGAUUAGACCAGUUUUUAUCUACUAAAAGAGUUUGAAGCUGUACCAAGCUGUACUUACGGAAGUGUGACCAGCCAUGGCGAGCCCUCUACUCACUCUGUGAUCGCGUCUAGUGUUUCCAUCAACAGCGAUGCCAGGAGGAUAUGCUAAAUUUCCGUUCUGCUCUCUUCUAACACUAUUCUUGCCAUGCUCUUCAUAAGUUAAAGCUUACCAAAAAGACACACCACAUAUCUUCUGUAAUUAACCAUUGUUAAUUACUUUUCUCAUUUGUGUGAAUUUAGAGAAUUUUAAAAAUUUAAACUACUUGUUUGCAGACAUGAUCUUCAUGUCAUCUAAUUCUCUUCAUAGCCUUGCUCUCUAAAAUAGUAGCCACUAACAUCUUUCCUUACAAGCAACCUAAAUUCACAAAUGAUUUAAAAAUAGUUGAAAAUGUGACUAACUUAACAACCCUAACAGACACCCUGGUGUACAGGAUAUAAUUUCAUUCAUAGCAUUUUCCUAAGUAUUCUCUUAAUUCGUUAGGUUAACAGAUCUGUGAUGCAGACAGAAAGUGUUAUAGGCUGAAUUGCGUUCCCCUAAUAUUGAUAUGUUGAAGUCCUAAGCCCCAGUACCUCAGAAUGUGACUGUAUUUGCAGAUAGGGUCUUCAAAGAGGUCAUUAAGGUAAAAUGAGGUCAUAUGAGUGGAUCCUAAUCCAAUGUGACUGGGUUCCUUAGAAGAAGAGGAGAUUAAGACACAGAGGGAAGACAAUGUGAAAACACAGGCAAAGCCAAGGAGAGAGGCCUCAGGAGAAACCAGCCCUGCCGACACCUUGGUCUCGGACUUCUAGGCUCCAGAACUGACAUUUCUGUUGUUUAGGCCCCCCAGUCUGCAGUACUGUACAUUUUUAUGGCAGCCCUCACAAACGAAUAUAGGAAGCUAUAUUGUUCCUAAUACUAUGAAUAAACUAUUUUAAACAUGAAGCCACAUAGUUCACCCAGUGCUUCUUAGGGAUGAAUUUCCCCUAAAUUAUAUUCAGGGCUUUCUUGCUGGAAAAAGGGAUAGGUUCUGCUCUACCCUUCCUAUUUUAAAUAAGUGAAUGUUUAAAUAGGUGAAUAAAAUAAUAAUCAGUAGCAAUAAAGGAAGAGAAUACUAAAAGGUCUUUGGGGUAGGAAGUAAGGGGAAGGAAGACAAGGAGAGCAGUAAGGAAAAAACAUAAUUUUUAUUGAAUCACCAAACAUAAUUUUAAACCACUCACUUUCCCACUGAAAUCCUUCUUGUUGUACAUGGAUUUUGGCCAGAAUUGUUGGUAACAGUAUAUCCACAAUAUCUUAAGUACUUAUUAUUUUGUUAUCAAAAGUGGUGUUAAGUUACUCUCUCUGUAAAACUACAAUUGCCCAGCUGGUCUGUAAUUCCCUGGGAGGGAAGUGCGGCAGGUACACCAUCCACAGUCAGUGAGCAUGAACAGAGAGGAUUUAUGGCUUAAGAAGAAUUUGCAGAAUGCUAAUGAAAAGAGAAAGUGGAAAUGCUAUUCACACGAUUUAGUUGCACAGCUCCCCUAGCCGUUUAAAAACUAGCCCCUGCAUUUCCUGUAAGCUGCUGUGAUUCGCUUCACAUAUGUCUUCUGCAUACAAUGUUCACGCACUUCUCUGUGUGCUCUCUGAGCGUCCGCGCGCCCUACCUGAAAUGGGGACAAUACAUGUACCCACGUCAGUGUAAGGGUGGAUGGGAUAAUCAGCACACUGUCCGGCAUGCAGUUAAGGCUCACUGAGGUUGGUUCUCCUGGGGCCCUGACAGUGCCUUCACCUCUGAAGGCUGGACCUCUCCCUGCCCUUCCCUCAGCCCUGCAGCCUGACCUGCCUCUCCAAAACUGGACUGUGAGCCCGGCCGGGAGAGUGACGUGUUCCUCUGUUCAGCCUUUGUGCCUGGUGUGACGAAUGAGGAAGCUUGCCCAUCUUCAGUGUUACCCGCGUCCUUCCUCUCCAGGUGCACGUGUACCAUGAUUUUCCUGGAGAGGAGAUGAAGGGAGGGAGGCCCCUAAAAAUCUACACAUCAGUGGAAGGCCGAAUCUCAAAAGUAACAAAAUCCAAUUCCCAAAACUUCUUAUUCGGAGAAAGUGGUGCCAGCACUGGAACAAAUGUCUGGUUUAGUGCCCAAACUGGAAACAGGCCAGGCGUCCUUCAGCAAGAGGAGGGCGGGAAACCGUGGUGUACUGCAAGACAGUAGACUACUGCUCGGCAACGAAAAGGAGUAAGCGAGGAUACACCCCGCAGCAUGACGAUUCUCAAAGCAGCGGCCAGACACAGAAGAGUACCUGCGGAAUCACUGCGUGCAUCUGACGUUCUAGAAAGGCGCGAGGAGCCCGUGGUGAGGAGACCAGAACAGAGGGCGCGCCUGGCUGGGAGCGACGUGAGCAGUUCUUCUGGGGCGGGAAUGUUCUGGAACUUGACCGGAGUGGUGGUUACUGCCGCGGAUGCAUUUGUCAAAACUGAACUGCGCAUGUCACUCCAGGUGAGCGCUAUCUCAGCAGACCAAACGAGAAAAAAGAAUCCAGUAUCUCGGGAGGUAAAGACGUGGUGAGGGCCACGUGGUCCGGGUUGUGCCGUGGCUGUGCGGUCAGGUCACGGGAUGCCUUGUUCGGACGACAGCAGCGAGGGGGAGUUCAGGAUGUGAAGAAAGAGGCACAGAAGAGAAAGCGGCUCAAGAGCAGCGUUCGCCUUAGGAGAUGAGUGUGCUCUCACCGGGAGCCUGGCCGGGACGGUGUCUGACUUGCUGUGAGCCGGGCGCGGCCGAGGUGCCCGGUGCUUCCUCCCUUUAUUCCGCGGGAGGCAGCGCGGGGACCACCGGGGCCCUGCCCAGAUCUGGGUGGGCCUGGGGAAGUCGUCGACCUUUCUUUCUUUCUUUUUAAUUGUAAUAAUGCGUGAAAAAAGCUUUUACUUCUGUGCUCUAAACACCCUUUAAAAACAUUUUUGUGCGAGGUGCCAUUGGUGACUUGUGUUCCUCCUGCGGCAGAGCGAGGGAGCUGGCACGGGGGGCUCGGCGCGCCCUCGGGCCCUAACAUUCGCCCUCUGAGGUUGUCCGGGCUGUGAACUUGGCGCCUGCGUAGUAACGUGCGUAGUCAAUAAAAUCGGAAACAAGAACGUGUGUUUGGAAGGUAAAGGAUAAGCCAGUUGCCUCGACAGAGCGGACACAGGGCUGUGCCUUCCUGCUGCAGCUCCGCGCGCUGGGCCCUUCUGCAGGGGAUGAAGCUACCCUCCCAGUCUCAGGAACCAUCCCGUUUUAGGAAGGACGUUGAAAGGAUGUCUGCCUUCCUUUAGGCAGGAACACAAAGCAAACCAGAUAUAAGUCAAUUUUUAUUCUGAUAUUAAAAAUAAUAAUACAUAGUUUUUGUAGAAAAUUUCAAAAUGCAAGAAAAUGUAAAGGAGGAAAUAAUAAUCACCUUAUUUUUUCCACCGAGAGGUAAUUUGUAAUAUUUCUGUAUGUAUCCGUCCAGUCUUUUUUUAUAUAUCUAUGAUAUUUUUAAUUUUUAUAAAUA